rnacentral:rRNA from 1 species
UACGUAGGGGGCAAGCGUUGUCCGGAAUCAUUGGGCGUAAAGCGCGUGUAGGCGGUUCGGUAAGUCUGCUGUGAAAGUCCAGGGCUCAACCCUGGGAUGCCGGUGGAUACUGUCGGGCUAGAGUGCGGAAGAGGCGAGUGGAAUUCCCGGUGUAGCGGUGAAAUGCGUAGAUAUCUGGAGGAACACCGGUGGCGAAGGCGGCAUCCUGGACCGGUAUUGACGCUGAGGCGCGAAGGCCAGGGGAGCAAACGGG